rnacentral:rRNA from 1 species
CAGAGGGGGCAAGCGUUGCUCGGAAUCACUGGGCGUAAAGGGCGCGUAGGCGGGAUGGCAAGUCAGUCGUGAAAUCUCUCGGCUCAACCGAGAAACGUCGGCUGAUACUGCCGUUCUUGAGGGAUGCAGAGGAGACUGGAAUUCCCGGUGUAGCGGUGAAAUGUGUAGAGAUCGGGAGGAACACCGGUGGCGAAGGCGGGUCUCUGGGCAUUUCCUGACGCUGAGGCGCGAAAGCGUGGGGAGCAAACGGGAUUAGAUACCCCGGUAGUCCACGCUGUAAACGAUGACGACUAGGUGUGGGGUGGUUUAGUCCAUUCCGUGCCGCAGCUAACGCAUUAAGUCGUCCGCCUGGGGAGUACGGCCGCAAGGUUG